UACGUAGGUGGCAAGCGUUGUUCGGAAUCACUGGGCUUAAAGCGUGUGUAGGCGGGUCGUUAAGUGUCUUGUGAAAUCCCACCGCUCAACGGUGGAACCGCUGGGCAUACUGGCGAUCUUGAGCAGUCCAGGGGCGAGCGGAACAAGCGGUGGAGCGGUGAAAUGCGUAGAUAUCGCUUGGAACGCCGACGGUGAAAACAGCUCGCUGGGGACUCGCUGACGCUGAGACACGAAAGCCAGGGGAGCGAACGGG
rnacentral:rRNA from 1 species